rnacentral:rRNA from 1 species
AUGGCUAUCGAGGACCAAGAGAAGACGGCUUUCAUCACCCCCUUUGGAGCUUUCUGUUAUGUCUCCAUGCCCUUCGGACUCAAGAGCGCAGGGGCAACUUACCAACGGUGUGCUCAAAACUGUUUCCACAAUCAGAUUGGACGCAACGUUCAUGCCUAUGUUGAUGACAUUGUGGUCAAAUCAGCCAAGAAGGCGACUCUGCUGGAUGACCUCAGGGAGACCUUUGCAAACCUUCGCACGUAUCAGAUGAAACUUAACCUAGACAAGUGUGUAUUUGGAGUCCCUACUGGCAAGUUACUUGGUUUCUUGGUAUCCGAGCGUGGUAUUGAGGCCAAUCCAGAGAAGAUCAAGACAAUCACUUCACUUACUGAGCCCAAGAAUCUCAAUGACGUUCAACGCUUGGCGGGUCGAAUUGCAGGCUUGAGUCGGUUUAUUAGCUGCCUCGGUGAGAAAGCAAUUCCUUUGUACCAGAUGCUCAAGAAAACAGACAACUUCAAGUGGAGUGCUGCCGCCAACGAUGCCCUUGAGGCCCUCAAGAAGCAACUAGCUGAGCCGCCUGUCCUUGCUGCUCCAAUCACCAAAGAGCCUAUGCUCCUGUACAUUGUUGCUAACAAUAAGGCGGUCAGUGUUGCGGUUGUGGUGGAAAGAAAGGAGACGGGUAAAGACUACCCAGUUCAGAGGCCAGUGUAUUAUGUCAGCGAGGUCUUGACACUAUCCAAGCAACGUUACCCUCACUGGCAGAAACUUGUUUUUGGCGUAUUUAUGGCAAGUAGGAAGCUAAGACAUUACUUCUUGGAACACCCCAUCACAGUGGUUAGUUCGGCUCCCUUAGGUGAUAUUAUUCACAACAGGGAAGCAACCGGCCGGGUCGCCAAGUGGGCCAUCGAGCUUGGUCCACAUAACAUCAAGUAUGUCCCUCGCACGGCUAUGAAAUCUCAAGCCCUGGUGGAUUUCAUCUACGACUGGACUGAGCUUCAGGCACCCGAGGAGAAACCAGACAACACGUAUUGGACUAUACACUUUGACGGAUCUAGGCAGUUUGAGGGCUUCGGGGCUGGAGUCAUCUUAUCUUCCCCUCGAGGUGACAAGUUCUAUUAUGUGUUGAGACUUAUGUUUCCUUGUACUAACAAUGCAGCUGAGUACGAGGCCCUCCUUCACGGCCUCUGUAUUGCUAAGGAGAUGAACCUCAGUCGAGUCAGAUGCUUGGGCGACUCAGACAUGGUAGCUCAACAGGUUUCUGGCACUUGGGACUCCAAAGACCCCCUCAUGUCGGCUUACCGACAAGUAGUCACCAAUGUUGCUGGUCAGUUCAAAGGUUACCAGGUGGAUCAUAUUGAUCGACGACAGAAUGAGGCGGCUGAUGCUCUAUCCCGCCUUGGCUCGCAGUGUAAGCCGGUUCCUCCCAAUGUUUUCCUCGACGUCCUUCAUAACCCGUCAGUCAAAACUGCCAUCAGAAGAGGAUCUUGUCAUUCCUGA